rnacentral:rRNA from 1 species
AUUGAACGCUGGCGGCAGGCCUAACACAUGCAAGUCGAGCGGAUGAAGAGAGCUUGCUCUCUGAUUUAGCGGCGGACGGGUGAGUAAUGCCUAGGAAUCUGCCUGGUAGUGGGGGAUAACGUUCCGAAAGGAACGCUAAUACCGCAUACGUCCUACGGGAGAAAGCAGGGGACCUCCGGGCCUUGCGCUAUCAGAUGAGCCCAGGUCGGAUUAGCUAGUUGGUGAGGUAAUGGCUGACCAAGGCGACGAUCCGUAACUGGUCUGAGAGGAUGAUCAGUCACACUGGAACUGAGACACGGUCCAGACUCCUACGGGAGGCAGCAGUGGGGAAUAUUGGACAAUGGGCGAAAGCCUGAACCAGCCAUGCCGCGUGUGUGAAGAAGGUCUUCGGAUUGUAAAGCACUUUAAGUUGGGAGGAAGGGCAGUAAGUUAAUACCUUGCUGUUUUGACGUUACCGACAGAAUAAGCACCGGCUAACUUCGUGCCAGCAGCCGCCGUAAAAC